GAUGAACGCUGGCGGCGUGCCUAAUACAUGCAAGUCGAGCGGACAGACGAUGCGCUUGCUCCUCUGACGUUAGCCGCGGACGGGUGUGUAACACGUGUAUAACCUACCUAUAAGACUGGGAUAACUUCGGGAAACCGGAGCUAAUCCCGUAUAAUAUCUUGAACCGCAUGGUUCAAUAGUGAAAUUCGGUGUUGCUGUCUCUUCUCGCUGGAUCCGCGCCGCAUUAGCUAGUUGGUAGGUAACGGCUUAUCAAGGCAACGAUGCGUAGCCGACGUGAGUGGCUGAUCGGCCACACUGGAACGGAGACACGGACCAGAGGCCUACGGGAGGCAGCAGUAGGCAAUCGGCCGCAAUAGGCGAAAGCCUGGCGGAGCAACGCCGCGUGUGAGAUGAAGGUGUUCGGAUCGUAAAACUCUGUUAUGAGGGAAGAACAACUGUGGAAGGAAAUAUGCACGUCUUGACGGUAACUGAUCAGAAAGCAACGGCUAACUACGUG
rnacentral:rRNA from 1 species